AUCGUUCAUCCCUCAAGCAACCGAGUGAAAAUACUCACCGCUAAGGGACGGAAGUAGGGACAACUCCCGAAGGAACGCGCC
rnacentral:ncRNA from 2 species